CAGAGAAAGGAUUAUGUGAGGACACCAAGAGGUGACCAUCAGCAAGCCCAGGAGAGAGGCCUCAGAAGAAACCAGACCUGCCGAUUCCUUGAUCUUGAACUUCUAGCCUCCGGAACUAUCCAACUUGAAUGCUUCCUGAUUAAAUAUAUACAGGAGUGAUUUCAGAGGAAUUUAAGUUUUGGAUCAUCCUUUUGAGAAAGAAAAAAAAGUACCCUUUUAAAAGAGACUUUCUUCUGCCACUGCCACUCCUGAGACAACAUGACCAAUCUCUCCCUUUCCUCCUCCUCAGCGUACUUUCAACAUAAAGACGACGAGGAUAAAGGCAUUUAUGAUGAACUACUUCCACAUAAUGAAUAAUUGAACAAAGGAGAGAAUUGUGAGAGUGAGAAAAAGUAAGUGAGACAAAGAAGAAAAACUAUAAAUCAGCAAAAUCCAGUGCCAAGAGCUCUGGACCACAAAUCAGAAGACCUGAGCCCUAAUUCCUUUCCAGUCAUUGGAUUUGUUCAUCGCUUGCCAAAACAGCAGCGAACUCUGUCAAACCGCAGCUCAUUUUAUCGGAGCAAAAACUGAACAAAGAACUGCUAUCAUGUCUGAGGUCAGAGGCAGUGCAGCUUGUGUUACAACUCAAAGAGUAAUACUUUGAAAAAAGAAAAAAAAGAUGGCGCUGAAAAUAAACAUGUUCAGCAGCCAUUGUGAUUCAACUUACCCAGAUGUGCUUUUCAUGAGAUGGAGAAGGACGGAUGGAAAAGAAAAGCACACAAAUGUUAAUGGAUACAGUUCAAUCCAAAGAAAACCAUGGAAUAAAACAAGAGCGUUAUUUAAGAUGUGAGAAAGCUCAGGUAUGAGAAAGACAUGGUGCCAUUUUGUAUUUCAUCAUGACACACAUACUCACUGCGUCGAAAAGCAUAGUCAGGCUGAGGGUAGUUCUAAUAGUUGACCAAUAAGUCUAUGUCUUGAGUAUGAGCCACUCUGAAACAUGCAUGACCACAUUUUCCCAGCCUCGAGUACAUCCCAGGAGGAAAUCAAGAAAUCUUCGUAAAGGACAUUCUUUACCUCAGGCCACUUCCAUGCUAUUUUACCAGUAGAAACAAUAACUUAUUAAUCGGCACUUAGAUUUUUAUAUAGUUUUAUAAGCCUACUGCUAAGGCCCAAGAAAAAAGAACAGCAGACAUUAGAAUGGGCAGCAACUUGAAGUGAAGAAAGUCCUUCCUAGUUUGAGGAUCUGAAAAUCUAGAUUCUAUUUCUCAUACACAAUUUGGUCAAAAUUAUUAGCAGAUUCUGAUCUUCAAUUUCCUCAACAUAAUCCCUAGUAAUAGAAAUGUGUAAAGUCCACUCCAGACCCAUAAUGUUAUUAUUCCAACCAAUGCUGUAAUAAUAAUUACUAUUUUGGUAAAUACAUAUGGCUAGUAAUCAGAACAUAAGAAAAUGUAAAAAUGUUCUAUUCCUCUUCUUCCGUGGCCAUAUUGCUUCCUCCUCUAUUUGACUGGCUAAAUAAACAUCAAGUUUGUGCCUAUUGUGGCUCUUUCAGUGGUAGAAAUAUUUAAUUAUUUGAAUAGGUGUUUAUAAAUGUUGUUUUGGGGGAAAAAUCCAUAAAUUAUAUUGGUUCACCAAUAUUACCAGAAAUCAUCACUAAAACAACACUGAUACACAUAUAGCUUUUGAAGAACCCACUUGCUCCCUGGAUGUAGUAGAGGCAUUGAGAAAAUAUGGAAGUUAAAUAAUUCAACAAAAAUCCAUGAGAGUAUUGUUUUAAAAAUAUAUUACAAGCAUAAUAGCCUAAUUAUUAAAAAAAAUUGUUACUACAACUCAUAAAACAUGUUCAGUAUAACAAAAUAGAAAGCAGAAAUUCCUGUCAGAAAUUAGGCAAGUUAAAGCAUCUUCUUUUUUAUCGCACAAUUAUUAUAAAGAAAAGAUUGAUGUGCAAUGGAACACCCUGCACAUGCCUCCUCUCAAGGCAUUCAUUCAGAGAAACCGUGUACUUUUUAUUAAAUCGGCACUUUGAAAAAAA